rnacentral:lncRNA from 1 species
UAUUUUAGAGUCCACAGUCCUCCAACUAAACAUGCUUUAAAGUGGACAUGAUGGCAUUCCGGAUUUAACUUUGGAUCUCACUGAUUGGCCCUCAGUUGUCAUUGGUUUAGGUUUCGAAAUCACAUCCCUAGAGCAAUCAUAUGAUUAAGAAUAGAAUCUAGGUCAGGCUUGGCCCGAAUGCACCCUCAAUUGGCAUGUCAUUCUCGUCAAAGUUUACACGCACGC